GCUUCAUUUUGGAGGAUUCUUGCACCUAUUUUAGCAAUAGAAAUUAUAUACAAGCAUGUGAUGGGAUAUAUGGCUCUGUAUUCUUAUACCGACUGCAUUUAAAAGGUUCAUUAACCUGCAAAUAAAGUUCCUCUGCACCGCUCGGCCCAACAUGGCUGAUCGUUGUUUUUUCCUCCUUUUCCUCCGUACCCUCGAUCACCACCAGUCAACAAUCAGUCACUAAAACAUGGGUGUGACAUAUUCAUGCAUCACCUCUAUACUAAUGCAAAAGUUUCUCAAGUACAGGCAAAUGUCUGCUCUCGAAACAGUUGUUCCCAAAACAUUAAGAGAUUUUACUCUAAUGUUUUAGAAUGUCUCAGGACAUAAUAGAGUUGCGUCUUUGCCAUAACGUUCUUCUGUACGUCGGCAUGCAUUAUCUCACUGAUAUUUCAUGACAUUUCAUCAUUUGGCAACAAUUUCUAUGUAGGAAGAGCCGCCUAAUGGGAAGGAUUCACGAUUGAAGAUGGCAGCCAUAACUGCAUUUGAAAGUCGUGCUUCAAGCUCAGGAGCUUGAGGUUUUUUUCACAGAUAUAAGAAACAUCCUUGGACUUCAAAAUUUUAAUAGCCGUCGCUGCCCAUGAACUGUAUUUUUAGCUUACUGGAGCACCCUUUUCUUUUUAUAACAAAAGGGGCCCAAGCCCCUAAAUUUUACACAUUGUCUAAUCCUACAAGUAAAGUAACAUGCAAUAUUUUUGUUAGUUUCUUCAUUUAAACAAUCUUAUUGUAGUCCGCUUAGGUUAUUGGCUAAGGAAGUGGUUGACAGGGUGAGUGCUUUGGGAGUUUAGUCUUCACACUAAGCAGGAAAAGAAGAAUGUCCCUUUCUCGAACCAUGUUGCUUGUACUGUGGAAAUGGCGUUGACCGAUCACUUAUGUGAUGUGGCCAUAAUUUAUGAGAUCCAGAUGAUGGCAGACCCAUACAGAGGCUAUGCAUGGACGAGAGCAUUGCUAGGACUUAAGGUCGAUGAGAUACAUGUUUGUGGGGAUCCAAGUGUUCUGAAUAUGGUGAGGAAAAUCUGUUCUGAUACUGGGGAUGAGUUGCACGAAUGCCACUACGACAGAUUCAAGCCACUGGUUGUUGAAGCCAAGACGCUGCUCGGGCAUCUUCGCAAUGUUCGAUCCGGUGAUUGUGUAGUUGCCUUUUCUUUGAGAGAAAUAUGUGAGGUUAAAUUGGCAAUUGAGAAGCACACCAAUCACCGCUGCUGUGCUAUAUACGGUGCCUUGCCACCUGAGACUCAAAGACAGCAAGCUAACUUGUUUAAUGAUCAAGACAAUGAGAAUGAUGUCUUGGUUGCAAGUGAUGCAGUGGGGAUGGGUCUCAAUCUGAAUAUCAGAAGGGUUGUGUUUUCCACUCUCUCGAAGUACAACGGUGAUAAGAUGGUGCCAGUUCCCGCUUCACAGGUGAAGCAGAUUGCUGGAAGAGCUGGUAGAAGAGGAAGCUGAUAUCCUGAUGGGCUUACAACUACCUUUGAGCUUAAUGAUUUAGAGUAUCUCAUUGAGUGUUUGAAGCAGCCAUUUGAAGAAGUUAAGAAGGUGGGUCUCUUUCCUUUCUUUGAGCAGGUUGAGCUCUUUGCUUUCCAACUUCCCAAUGUUACGUUCUGCAAGCUACUCUAGAAAUUUGGUGAAAAUUGCCGUCUUGUUGGCUCAUACUUCUUGUGUCGGCACGACCAUAUUAAGAGGGUGGUAGACAUGUUGGAGAAGGUCCUUGGGCUAUCUCUUGAAGAUCGCUUCAAAAUUUGUUUUGCACCAAUUAAUGUCAGAGACCCAAAAUCAAUGUAUCAUCUUCUGAGGUUUGCCACAGCUUACAGUCAAAACUUUUGUUUUGCACCAAUUGUAAUCCAAUUAAUAUAGCAGUGGGCCUGCCUAAGGGCUCUGCUCGAAAUGAUGCUGAGCUUUUGGAUCUGGAGACCAAACAUCAGGUGCUGUCUAUGUAUCUGUGGUUGUCUCACUUCUUUGAGGAGUAAACUUUUCCAUAUAUUAAGAAGGCAGAAGCUAUGGCGACAGGCAUUGCUGAGUUAUUGGGUCAUUCUUUGAAAGUCGCUAACUGGAAACCAGAAUCAAGGCAGGCAGGAAAAUGAAAGCCUAAAGAGAAGCCUGAACAAAAGGAGGAUGGCUAUGAGAGACCGCAGUCAGUCGCGAAACUGUUAUCUUUAUGCUUUCUCCCUUGCAUCCCACCACAAUUGCCGUCUCCUAGUUAAAUGCCCAUGGAACUCAGGAGGAAUUUUGACAUUAUCCUGGAACUAUUUCCAGCAAGACCAGAUGAUGUUCUUUCAACAGCUCACAAGCCCUCCCUCAACAUGCCAAGCUAUUCUGGUUGCAGCAGAUUGCUUUACUUCCACAUUCUGUCUGUUGAGAUUUAGAAUAAUUUAUUGCAGGUUGUCUCCACUGAAUAGCAAUUUAUGCAAUGUCAUCUGCCUAUUAUGUGAAGGUGUCGAUAGAGCAUCAUGCAUCCAUUCCAUCUGAACAAUCUCUAAGCACUCCUUCUUUACAUUCUCUUUGAACUCAUUUACCUGCCUUUUCAUUAGGGAUUGUGCCGACCUUGCAGCAGCAAGCAGUUUCAUGUGAGCAGGCUGGUGAAGGGUGCUUUGCUUCAAUGAGAGAGAGCUAAAAUUUUGACAAAAUAUUCUGACUGUCAAAUUAUCUCCAACCAAUAUUUCUUCGUAGCUUCUAUCCCGAAAUGCCCAUGAAAAGGGUGCUUUGUACUGUAGGACAAUGGGAGAGAAUAAUCCACCAAAAUAGUGAUGCUUCAGAUUUGUUCCAUGCAAGAAUAAUGUGCUAAUUUGUUGUUUUCCCCAUGCUUUGCUUGAGGCUAUGCAUAUGCAGAGGAUGUAAGAGGUGGCUCUGAUUACCUUUAUUGCUCAGAAUGAACAGAUCCAUCUCUGCCACAUGGGUGGCUCAGUUUUACCUUUGGAUACUAUGUGGAUCGUCACUAGUGCAGCAUGGCGUUCAAGCAACUAGUCAGGCCAGGCUUUGUGGAUGGAUAGCUCAUACUAGUGCAACAGAGUGCCUCUCAUCAUCAGUUUGGGUCUGACCAUCCUUCGUUGGGAUUCAUUCAAUCUUUCUGGUAUUUUCCUAUGUGCUUAUAUCCUCCUAUCCAGUUGUUCUCAUCAGCAUGCUUCGGGACUAUUGAGUGAGGGUGUAUUCUCUUAAUGAGAAUGAUGUUACGUUUGGUUUAAUAUGGUAUUUUAUCGGAUCGUCUCUAUUUUAAUAUUAUAAUUUUUCAUUUUAAA